rnacentral:rRNA from 1 species
CCUACGGGGGGCAGCAGUGAGGAAUAUUGGUCAAUGGACGCAAGUCUGAACCAGCCAUGCCGCGUGCAGGAAGACGGCUCUAUGAGUUGUAAACUGCUUUUGUACGAGGGUAAAUCCCGAUACGUGUAUCGGGUUGAAAGUAUCGUACGAAUAAGGAUCGGCUAACUCCGUGCCAGCAGCCGCGGUAAUACGGAGGAUUCAAGCGUUAUCCGGAAUGACUGGGCGUAAAGGGUGCGUAGGUGGUUUGACAAGUUGGUAGCGUAACUCCGAGGCUUAACCUCGGCACUACUACCAAAACUGUUGGACUCGAGUGCAGGAGGGGCGAAUGGAAUUCGUGGUGUAGCGGUGGAAUGCGUAGAUAUUAGGAGGAACACCAGUGGCGAAGGCGAUUUGCUGGACUGUAACUGACACUGAGGCACGAAAGCGUGGGGAGCAAACAGGAUUAGAUACCCGGGUAGUC